UACGUAGGGUGCAAGCGUUGUCCGGAAUUAUUGGGCGUAAAGAGCUCGUAGGCGGUUUUGUUGCGUCGGCUGUGAAAUCCCGAGGCUCAACCUCGGGUCUGCAGUCGAUACGAGCAAAACUAGAGUGUUUGCAGGGGGAGACUGGAAUUCCUGGUGUAGCGGUGAAAAUGCGCAGAUAUCAGGGAGGAAACACCCGGGUGG
rnacentral:rRNA from 1 species